rnacentral:rRNA from 1 species
UACAGAGGUCUCAAGCGUUGUUCGGAUUUAUUGGGCGUAAAGGGUGCGCAGGCGGUGUGGUAAGUCUGGUGUGAAAUCCUGGGGCUCAACCCCAGAAAUGCACUGGAUACUGCCAUGCUAGAGGACUGGAGAGGAGAUUGGAAUUCACGGUGUAGCAGUGAAAUGCGUAGAUAUCGUGAGGAAGACCAGUGGCGAAGGCGAAUCUCUGGACAGUUCCUGACGCUCAUGCACGAAGGCUAGGGGAGCAAACGGG